CCUGUCCUUAGAAAGAAUGUGGGUGCAGCUGGUGUCCCAUGUGUGCCAGUAGGUGCCAGAAAGAAGAGAGGCUAUGUCUAGACUCAGAGUUCUGACCUAUGACCAUCUGAAUGAUUACUUGCCUAACAUU
ensembl:snoRNA